UACAGAGGGUGCGAGCGUUGUCCGGAAUCACUGGGCGUAAAGGGCGUGUAGGCGGCUGGGUAAGCCGCGUGUGAAAUCCCGGGGCUCAACCCCGGAACGGCACGCGGGACUGUCCGGCUAGAGAAUGGUAGAGGCGAGUGGAAUUCCUGGUGUAGCGGUGGAAUGCGUAGAGAUCAGGAAGAACACCGGUGGCGAAGGCGGCUCACUGGCUCGUUUCUGACGCUCAGGCGCGACAGCGUGGGGAUCAAACAGG
rnacentral:rRNA from 1 species